rnacentral:rRNA from 1 species
GACGAACGCUGGCGGCGUGCCUAAUACAUGCAAGUCGAACGCAGUUGCGAACGGGUGAGUAACGCGUAGGUAACUGCCUGGUAGCGGGGGAUAACUAUUGGAAACGCUCUCUAAUACCGCAUCCUACCAGAUUGACCUUCGUUGUAUUAGCUAGUUGGUGGGGUAACGGCUCACCAAGGCCAACAUACAUAGCCGACCUGAGAGGGUGAUCGGGCAAAAUGGGACUGAGAAACGGCCCAAACGCCGACGGGAGGCAGCAGUAGGGAAUCUUCGGCAAUGGACGGAAGGCUGACCGAGCAACGCCGCGGGAGUGAAGAAGGUUUUCGGAUCGUAAAGCUCUGGUGGAAGAGAAGCGGUAUCUUACCAGAAAGGGACGGCUAACUACGUGCCAGCAGCCGCGGUAAUUC